GAACAGAAGAGGACGUCUUAACUCCACCUUACAUCUGAUUGUUGUGGCAGGGAAUUCAACAAUAGUAAUGAAUAUCAUCAGGUUGACUCUGGUGGUCUUGAUGCUGAUUCCUCUGCUUCUCCUGAAUCUGUGGACGAGGAAGAAGAAAACUCGGAGCUCCACCUCUGAACCAAAUGAACAUGUAGAGACGAUAGAGAUGCAGCUGAACCAGACUCACCUCAUGGAAACAAAGUAGGACAUCAUUGAAAUAUCCCUGUAGAGAGCGAGGCUGUGGAGGAAGUGGAUCCAUUUACAUUCAACUCCAAAAGUUUUCCUUUUCAGUUUUCAGUAGCAGCAGCAGGGUGGAGUCAGCAGCAGCAGUCAGCAGCAGCAUGUAGCAGAAAGUUUAGAAGAAGGUGGUGUUGGCAGGUUGAACUGAAUCAUGUCGACGUUUCAGACGUGAUUUAUUGUUUAGAUCAGCUGAUGGUCAGGUUGUCUGUGACUUAAUGUCUUAACUUACUGCUUAAACAAUGUGAGCGUAUUAGUUCCAGUAGAGUUAAAUAUUAGUUUUAUUACAUAAUAUGAGGACUAAAGUUUUAUAAUAAACAUAAUAAAUAACUUUUGAAAAUUCCUCAUGAGCUUCUGG